GCUGCCCCGCUCCUCUCUCUCUCGUGGCGCUGGGUCGGGUCGGGUGUGGUCCGGUCGGGUCUGGACAGUGCGGGGGACUGUCCCGCAGCUGGGGGGACCCCGAGGACGCCACAGGUUCGCCGGACGGGACGGUCCCAGCCCGGCCCGGAGAGGGCGAACAGCCCGCUGUCAUCGGCUCCCUGCAGCUGUGUGGGGACUGGGCCCUGAGCGGCAGCACCAGGCUCGUUUUCAAUAAAAAGUUAUUCUUGUAAAGUG